rnacentral:rRNA from 1 species
AUACGUAGGGAGCGAGCGUUAUCCGGAUUUAUUGGGUUUAAAGGGUGCGCAGGCGGGAGAUUAAGUCGGCGGUGAAAUUUUGCAGCUCAACUGUAAAAGUGCCUUCGAAACUGGUUUCCUUGAGUGUAGAUGAAGUAGGCGGAAUUUGUGGUGUAGCGGUGAAAUGCAUAGAUAUCACGAGGAACUCCGAUUGCGCAGGCAGCUUACUAAACUACUACUGACGCUCAGGCACGAAGGCGUGGGGAUCAAACAGGAUUAGAUACCCUGGUAGUCCACGCAGUAAACGAUGAUUACUAGCUGUUUGCGAUACAAUGUAAGCGGCUGAGCGAAAGCGUUAAGUAAUCCACCUGGGGAGUACGUUCGCAAGAAUGAAACUCAAAGGAAUUGACGGGG